UGUAGCUCAGUGGUAGAGUACUUGCUUGGCAGGUGCAAGACUCUGGGUUCAAUCCCCAGUA
rnacentral:tRNA from 1 species